CACCGACAGCCGAGACUAGCUCUUCCUUCAGAAUCAAUGGUUAUAUUUGUACAUAGCUUCUGAAGAUCAAUGUAUCCUAUUAUGGUGUCCUCAAAAACAGCAUCUGCCAAUUGAGCUUCAUCAAAAGUGGAGCCUGAUAGUACAGCGUUCUUAAAUACAGCUCCUUGAAGAUUGGCUUUCCCGAAAUUAACCCGAUCUAAAACUGCGUUUGAG
rnacentral:misc_RNA from 1 species